GAGUUGCAUGCUCUUCCGACUGAACUGCCCAGAUGCCCCACACAUGUACUUCAUUUUAAAAUGUGUUGGCAUCUUUAAGAAAAAGCCUCAGUGGGAAAUAUAAACAUGAUGAAUAUUUUCUGAAGAAUCCUCUCCCUACCCCUCUUCCUAACAUAAAAGAAGCUUGAAUUUCGUGCUGAGGGGCUGAGGGAGAUGGUUCUUUGGAACAGUAGUCUGCCAUUGGCUUGGUUUGCUUUGCUUUUCCUGCUUCUCUACAAGCUUGGACUCCAUUACAAAUUUAGCAAGCCAGCUUAUGGCCAGCAGACCUGCCUCAGGGAUUCUUCAGGGAAGUCCCUAGCAACUAUCAGGACAAUUUGAUCCAGGGAUUUCUUCUUUUAUUUGAUUUCUUUCACUGGCUACCCCUGCACCAGGCUUUUGAGGCAAGAAUUCAACAAACAUCUCUGAGUCCACAGACCCAAAAGUAGGAGAGACACAGCGAGAGAGGGAACACAGCAGGGGAAGUGGGAGAGGGAGAAGCAGGCUUCCUGCUGGUCAGGGAGCCCGAUGUGGGGCUCGAUUCCAGGACUUUGGGAUCAUGACCUGAGCCGAAGGCAGAUACUUAAUGACUGAGCCACCCAGGUGCCCCAAUGAGGACCUUUCCCAAAUUGAGAAACGUUUGGGCUCCUUUUCGGCCAGUCCUGAUAACUAUAUUAAAGAAUUCCAAUAUCUGGCCCAAGCCUAUGACCUCACCUGGCAUGAUUUACAUGUGGUCCAGACCACCACCCCCACCACAGAGGAGAGGGAACGCAUCCAGGCUGCUGCCCGGGAUCACGCGGAUCAGGUCCAGCUCACUGAUGCUGCCAUGCCAGCUGGAGCCCGGGCGGUCCCAGCUGUAGACCCAGAUUUUAAUUAUUUGUCAGAGAGAGAGUGAGCGAGAGCGAGCACAGGCAGACAGAGUGGAAGGCAGAGUCAGAGGGAAAAGCAGGCUCCCUGCAGAGCAAGGAGCCCGAUGUGGGACUCGAUCCCAGGACACUGAGAUCAUGACCUGAGCCGAAGGCAGCUGCUUAACCAACUGUGCCACCCAGGCAUCCCAAGUCUGGCCUUUCAACUGCUUGGAUUGGAGGACGACUGACGAAGCCCAGACUCAGCCACCCCUCUCACCCAGGCCGAGCCCAGGGUUACGCUCCAGGUAGUGGGUAAUCGAACUUGUCCACAGGGCUUGCAAAACCUGUUCCGCCGUGAAUUCACAAGGAGGAAUCCGCAGACCAGGGCCUAACCAACAGCUCCGAGGUCAUCAGCCGGGGGAAGACUGACAACUGGACUUCACUCCCAUGCCUCGCCAUAAAAUACAUUCACAGGCUGGAUCGAGGCAUACCUCAUGGCCUGGGAAACAGCGGACGUAGUGGCUACAAUACUUAUCGAGCGUAUCAUCCCGAGGUUCGGAUUGCCCCGGACCAUCCAGUCGGACAACGGACCUGCCUUCAUCCCCAGUGUAACCCAACAGGUAGCUGAGAGCCUCAACAUAACCUGGAAACUUCACAUCCCAUACCACCCACAGUCAUCGGUAAGGUAGAAAAGGCCAACGGGCUGCUCAAAGCCCAACUCACCAAACCUACCCUAGAAACCCAUCUUUCCUAGCCUACACUUCUGCCUAUAGCUCUCACCAGACUCCUGGCUACGCCCCGUGGGUCUUCAGGCUUAAGCCCAUUUGACUUACUAUAUGGCCGGCCCUUUCUUAGAAAUCAUAGCCCUCCAGCUAUUUCCCCGCCUCUUUUAUCCUAUCUACCUUACCUCACUCUACAGUCGUAGGGAUACCCCUCCCUAUUGACUGGCCACUCCCCAACUUCAGGGCCACAAAUAAUACGGUCCAUAUGGGCCCCAUUGGGGGAAACAUACCUAUUAUUAAUGUGUCCUCCCUUACCACCGCAGCGGCCAUAUCACUAACUCCUCCCUCCUGUACUGUACUCCCUCGGGAAUAUUUCUCUUGUGCCCUCAGGGAAUCUAUUGUUGCCUGACCACUAACGACUCCCUGGGCUGUAUAUUCAUCCUACUAUCUCCUUCUACCACCAUCUACUCUGAAUCCCAGCUGCUGUCCAUCCUAUUUCCCCAACACCAUGGAGGGAGGGCUGCCUUCCUCCCAUUCAUAACAGGGGCAGGAAUAGCCACAGGGGUGGCAACUGGAACAGCGGGGAUAGGAACCUCCAUAGACUUUUUUCUUACAAACUCUCCCAAGCCCUGAAUGAUGACACGGAACGGGUUGCUGACUCCCUCACAGCCCUACAGACGCAAGUCACCAGCCUAGCAGCCUUAGCUCUACAGAACCGAUGGGCCUUAGACCUUCUGACCGCCGAAAAAGGGGGGACCUGCCUAUUAUUAAAUGAAGAAUGUUGUUACUUUGUUAACCAAUCAUAUAGUUACCUCCAGGAUCAAAGAACUCAGGGAUCGGAUCCAAGCACGGUGGCGAGACAUGUCCUCCUGGGACCUGGACCCCUACAACUGGGUAACCUGGCUGCUCCCUCUGGCGGGACCUGUAUGCAUAAUCCUCCUUCUAAUCU